rnacentral:lncRNA from 1 species
GCAACACCCACUGGUCAAAGAUUUUCCUUUUCAGGCAUAUGGCGUCGGCUAGGGACACAAAAAUGUAACUACAUUUUUUUACAUUUUGAGAUGUCUACACCAAUGAACUUACCUUAUUGAGUUCUUUUGAGUGACACAAAAUUGUAUUUCUCUGAACACCUUAAACUCCAGUAAAGAGUUCUUUGAGUGUCACAGAAAUGUAAGUGGUCUUACAUUUCUGUGAUACUAUGUUUUGACUGAUGAUAUUGAGUUACGUUUUUGUGGCAUAAAUUUUAUUGCACUGGAUGGUGAUUGCAGGUAGAAACAAUGGAUUUAAUAAUUUGUUUCGUAUAUUUUGCAGCGUGGUCUGAUGCAUUUUCAGCUCUGUUACAACUGUGAAGGCGUAAAAAAGUGAAUAAGUUGAUAAUUUCAUCGGCUUAGGGACACAAAAUUAUAUUAUAAUACUAUAGCAACAAAGAAUUACAAAUAAAUUACUGAUCCCAACAGUAAGUCUCUAUAAUAAUAGACGUUGCAUUUAGGGAUACAAAAAUGUAUCUCCACCAAUUUUUAUCUAAAUGUUGUUAUUUUGAGAACACAAUGUAUCUAUUGUUGGGUAUGAUUGUAUUACCUUAAACAUUUCUAAGGUUAAUAAUUUGGAACAAAAACUUUGAGAAUAAACUACAGAUCAUUACAAAAUGCAAAUCACUUUUUUAAAAACCUUAAAUAAGUUCUGCUGAAAAGUAGUCGUUUCUGAGAUACAAUUUUGUGUCCCUAAGCCGACGAUGGGUAUGGUAAGUCCGAUUUAAAUACAUAGUUUAGUUUAACAAACGCUGCCCAGGCUAAUCCUAUGCGACGUGGGAGCUCGCACGUCUGGUUAUCUCUUCCCAGCCGAAUUUCACGUCCCAAUGUUCUGUCAAUGCUUUUAAGAUUUUCUGCUGGCUUAUGAUAUCGAAUGCUUUCUGGUAGUCCACGAAUAUCAGUGCGAAUGGUUUGUUGUAUUCUGCAACAUAUUAAUAGGACCAUAUAUUUUAAAUCCCACUUUAACCGGUGAAGUGUAUUUACCUUUAUAUUUUCUACCUAUACAUAUACUGAUUGUUUUUUCACGUAGCUCCAUACAAUAAAAUUACAUAUAUUAUUGUCAUUUCGGAUUAUGUUGUUAGUU